rnacentral:misc_RNA from 1 species
AAGACAUAGGGUCUAAAGCUAUGCUGGCUAUUUAGAAAAACUAAAAAAACUUACAGAAUCAUCCAAAAUAUUGCUGAGUCUGAUUUUAAAAAAGGAAUCAAGAACUCAAGAAACCAUUGAUGCAAGAACUUUAUUAAAGAGGAUUCCAUCUCUGGAAUGCAGAAGCAAGCAGCACUAGUUCCUUCAAGUUGGCAGAUGUAUCUUCUCUAGACUCAAGAAAGCGGCUUUGCACGAGUAGCUGGAUCUUCCUUGGAUUCAAUUUGUAUCAUAAAUGCAUAUCCCAAUACCCAUAAGAAAAUAUACAAGAAAGGAACCCAAGAGAGGCAAGCUAGCAAACUCAAAAUGCUGCCGACAUACUGAGGAUCUCUUAUUACUCCAAAAGGAAACUCUGUUACCCAAGGGAUAUUCUUCCCAAAUCGUACACCAUAGUAAGUGCCAUCUUCUCCCAAAAGUUGGUAAACCCUAAAAUUAAGGAACUGGCCAAAGAUGAAAAGGGGCCAAAAAUAAAGAGGAGGCGGCCAUGAAAAUGUGGAAACCGACAAGAGUGAUAUGAUUUGGAUCAACUUUAUAAAAUGAGAAACGAUAGCCAUAACUUUGCAAGGGUCACGUCCACUUCCACAGAGAUGAACCCAUUUUUGAGGAUGUGUCCA